UACGUAGGCAGCGAGCGUUGUUCGGAGUUACUGGGCGUAAAGGGUGUGUAGGCGGUUGUUUAAGUUUGGUGUGAAAUCUCCCGGCUCAACUGGGAGGGUGCGCCGAAUACUGAAUGACUUCGAGUGCGGGAGAGGAGAGUGGAAUUCCUGGUGUAGCGGUGAAAUGCGUAGAUACCAGGAGGAACACCGGUGGUGUAGACGGCUCUCUGGACCGUAACUGACGCUGAGACACGUAAGCGUGGGUAGCAAACAGG
rnacentral:rRNA from 1 species